AGCGAACGCUGGCGGCAGGCCUAACACAUGCAAGUCGAACGAAGUCUUCGGACUUAGUGGCGGACGGGUGAGUAACACGUGGGAACGUGCCUUUAGGUUCGGAAUAACUCAGGGAAACUUGUGCUAAUACCGAAUGUGCCCUUCGGGGGAAAGAUUUAUCGCCUUUAGAGCGGCCCUCGUCUGAUUAGCUAGUUGGUGAGGUAAAGGCUCACCAAGGCGACGAUCAGUAGCUGGUCUGAGAGGAUGAUCAGCCACAUUGGGACUGAGACACGGCCCAAACUCCUACGGGAGGCAGCAGUGGGUAAUCUUGCGCAAUGGGCGAAAGCCUGACGCAGCCAUGCCGCGUGAAUGAUGAAGGUCUUAGGAUUGUAAAAUUCUUUCACCGGGGACGAUAAUGACGGUACCCGGAGAAGAAGCCCCGGCUAACUUCGUGCCAGCAGCCGCCGUAAAAC
rnacentral:rRNA from 1 species